UGGAAACAGGCUCCAGGCUCUGAGCCAUCAGCCCAGAGCCUGACGCGGGGCUCGAACUCCCGGACCGCGAGAUCGUGACCUGGCUGAAGUCGGACGCUCAACCGACUGCGCCACCCAGACGCCCCGGUGCUCGUCUUUUGAGGUGAAAAAGAAAGGACAUUUGAGUGAGACUCAGAAGUGGCCAGAGUCCAUGGAAGGAUUGCUUUGACUCUCUGAAACACUGCACAGACCUGUCUUCACAUUGGAGAUCUAAAACAGUGCAUGAAAGCAGACACACAGGUGUUGACCAGGCCCAUGAACCAAGCCCGCUUUGUUUGUGUUACACACGGUGAACUUUUUUCCUGGGAAGUCAGAUUGCAAAUGAAAAUUCAGAGCAGCACUUUGGAACUAACAAGUACUGAUCUCUAGGUGAUGUCCUUUUCCUUUUGGACUUGAGCUUGUUGCCUUUCAUGAGGACAUCUGAGCAGUGGGCCAGAGGCAUUCAAAGUCUCUUUUCUUUCAUCAGUGUCCUCUCUUGUGGACUUAAACCACCAAACAAAAGCAACCUCAGUAAAGCAAUGAAAGGUCCACCUCAUUUUAGGAAAUUCUUGAACAGGAAAUCUUGGUGAUUCCACGUGAUGUUACUUUUGUCUUAAAAGUCACAACGUUAUUCAUUUUAAGGAAACAAUGGUGUAACCUGGAAUCUUCGUCAGAUCUGCCUUGAAAUCAGAAGCAUCCAAAUAAGAUGAACAAGAACAGGGUACCCUCUCUCCAUUCAGAACUGAUAUUUUCACUUCCUUUUGCUUCACUCUGACAUCUAUGUUACAAAAGUGGAAAGUAGUCACUUGACAUAAAUAUAUUUAGAUGAGGACACUAGAUUUAUUUCCCUGGAAGAAUUACCCUAAGGAAGAGGACCUUUGGACACAGAUCAAGCUGCUGCACUGAAGGAAUAGAACUGAAGACCAGUGAAAGGAGGCAGUGAAUCCUGAAGAUGGGCCAUGAUUAUUUGUCUGUGUGGUGCCAAGUUGACACAAGCUCUGGAGGCCAGGAGUCCAGGAUCAAGGUUGCAUUCUGGGGCUUCAUGGGAAGGGAGUGCCACACUGACCUUUGGAUUCAGAGUAGGUUUUCCUGCUUGAGAAUGAGGUAAAGGUGCAUGAAAUAGCAUGUAAGUUUCUGUGGCGAGAGAUUUACCCUAAAAUACCAACUCCUGUCCAGGGGGUUGACAAUCUCUGAAAGGAAAAUUUCUCUGGUUUCUGGAUGGAAAAUGCACUUUGAAGCAAAAACUCCUCUUCCUAAUUGAAUUGUAGCUUAUGAUUUUUUUCUAGUGGGUUUUGCUACACUAAAACAUUUAUUUAAAGGUUUACGUGAAUGGAAUAUGGGUAUUAUGGAAGACAGAUAUAUAUACGAUUUAUAGAGACAUCAGAAUUCUUUUUAGGGCUCAAAUUGGGCUAGAGGCAAGAUCUUUGAUUUCUAACUGAAUCCAUUUGACUCUAAAUAUGUAAGUCUUUUGUAUUUGAUGAUUAGAAUACCUAAGAAUUUUUCUAAAUCAUUUGAUUAAUUUCCAUUCUCAAAGAUAAAUUCUUCAUUCUAUUGAUAAUGGCUUUUUCUUGUUUGGUUACAAAACAAACAAUUUGAUUUUACUUCUUUUAUAUAUUGAAGAAUGAUUUAAUGAAAAAGAACACAGCAAUAGUGAUAUUUCCACUAGAGGCAAAACUAUUUGAUAAAACAUAUCUACUAGUUUUUGAGUCACAAGAGUUUAAGGGAAUAUUCCUGAACUCGCCUUUUUUAUUUUGCUUUGGAGAUCAUAAUUUCUUGGAGUAAAUUCUGCAACCGAUCAAGGGAUGAAAUUUGAAUGAGGAAAAGAGAUGCACUGAAGAUUAUCUACAAUGGGAUGCUACUGUCAUCUUCCUUUUUCCCCCAAUGAAUAAAAACAAUCGAUGACCCAUUAAUAGUUACUAAUUAAUUUUUUUCUAAGAUUGUUAUAGAUAUAGAAAGUUUCCUCCACAGUCCCCUCCUGGGAUUUUGGGAUUAGGAUUUGGUAGGCAGUUAAGGAACAUGGAAUUUUAGGUCACCAAUAAUUUGCCUGCCAAAGGAAAAACGAAUCUACCAGAUAGCCUUGCACAUGAUAGGUACCCAAUAGAUGGCAACUAGAUGAAUGAAUGAAUGAGUCAAAUACAAUGUUAGUAUAUGUUAGUAUAUUUUUGAUGCUUUAUAUUUUUUCUAGUUCAGCUAGAACACAUUUGGAAACUGUUGCAGAAGUGAUUUGUUGAUACCUCCUUCUUUCCAUUCUAACUGAGUUUAAACACUAAUUUCAAUACACCUCUUUAAUAAAAAUCUUCCAUGAAUGCAUUGACCUAGGAUAAAAUGAAAACUUGUUAACCUUCAAAGCAAAGCUCUCCAAAAUUUGGAUUCACCCAAUUUGUUUAGUUAAGUUCAUCAUUAAUAAUAGAUUUACCCUGACUUUGUUAUUUCCCUCACUAUUUUUUAAAACAAAAUAAAGCAACAAAAACCAGACUGCUUCUCAUUUCAAUUCUGAAAUUUUUGUUUUUUGCUUUUUUGUUUUUGUUUUUGUUUUUUGUCUGUUUUUUUUUUUUUGGUUGUUGUUAUAUACUAACAUUCUUUUCCCCAUCAAAAUUCUAGUAACUAUUAAACUAAGGAUUUUAAAAAUACUUUUGAGAUGUCUCUCAUCAUCAUAAAGCUUUUCCAAAGGUCAGAACACCAUGAAGGUGCCGUGCCCCAGAGCAGAGCUUUUGCUGUCCCUCUGCAGACCACCUGGCUUCCCAUUGCCAGUUGUUAAAGCAUCUCCCUUCCAUCCUUUGGCAAAGCCCAUUGUCUUUGGCAUCUCACGCCAUCGGGCUAUAUGGUUCUCCUCCCUUUCUUAUUGAUGUCAUUUACAGACUUCCUAAUCAUUUCUCUUCACUCGUUGACAUCUUUCACAACUGUGAGAGGGCUUUCACAACUGUCGUCCCUACAUUCUGUCCUGUCAGAGAGGAAAGUGUCAGCGUACCUGUGGCAAACAGUCAUUUAAAAAUUCUAGCUUUCAGGGGCACCUGGGUGGCUCAGUUGGUUAAGCAUCUGACUUCAGCUCAGGC